UGGCUAAGAUCAAGUGUAGUAUCUG
rnacentral:piRNA from 4 species